GGCCGCCUGGCGUAAUGGCAACGCGUCUGACUUCGAAUCAGAAGAUUGUAGGUUCAAGUCCUGCGGUGGUCG
rnacentral:tRNA from 1 species